GUGGGGAAUAUUGGACAAUGGGCGCAAGCCUGAUCCAGCCAUGCCGCGUGAGUGAUGAAGGCCUUAGGGUUGUAAAGCUCUUUCACCGGUGAAGAUAAUGACGGUAACCGGAGAAGAAGCCCCGGCUAACUUCGUGCCAGCAGCCGCGGUAAUACGAAGGGGGCUAGCGUUGUUCGGAAUUACUGGGCGUAAAGCGCACGUAGGCUGAUAUUUAAGUCAGGGGUGAAAUCCCGGGGCUCAACCCCGGAACUGCCUUUGAUACUGGGUAUCUUGAGUAUGGAAGAGGUCAGUGGAAUUGCGAGUGUAGAGGUGAAAUUCGUAGAUAUUCGCAGGAACACCAGUGGCGAAGGCGGCUGACUGGUCCAUUACUGACGCUGAGGUGCGAAAGCGUGGGGAGCAAACAGGAUUAGAUACCCGUGUAGUCC
rnacentral:rRNA from 1 species